GACGGAGGGUGCUAGCGUUGUUCGGAAUGACUGGGCGUAAAGGGCGCGUAGGCGGCUCGUGAAGUCGGGUGUGAAAGCCCGGGGCUCAACCCCGGAACGGCAUCCGAUACUGGCGGGCUUGAGACCGGGAGAGGAGGGUGGAAUACCCAGUGUAGAGGUGAAAUUCGUAGAUAUUGGGUGGAACACCGGUGGCGAAAGCGGCUACUCUGGCCCGGAUCUGACGCUGAGGCGCGAAAGCGUGGGGGAGCAAACAGG
rnacentral:rRNA from 1 species